ACGAACGCUGGCGGCGUGCUUAACACAUGCAAGUCGAACGGAAAGGCCCUGCUUUUGUGGGGUGCUCGAGUGGCGAACGGGUGAGUAACACGUGAGUAACCUGCCCUUGACUUUGGGAUAACUUCAGGAAACUGGGGCUAAUACCGGAUAGGAGCUCCUGCUGCAUGGCGGGGGUUGGAAAGUUUCGGCGGUUGGGGAUGGACUCGCGGCUUAUCAGCUUGUUGGUGGGGUAGUGGCUUACCAAGGCUUUGACGGGUAGCCGGCCUGAGAGGGUGACCGGCCACAUUGGGACUGAGGUACGGCCCAGACUCCUACGGGAGGCAGCAGUGGGGAAUAUUGCACAAUGGGCGGAAGCCUGAUGCAGCAACGCCGCGUGCGGGAUGACGGCCCUCGGGUUGUAAACCGCUUUCGCCUGUGACGAAGCGUGAGUGACGGUAAUGGGUAAAGAAGCACCGGCUAACUACGUG
rnacentral:rRNA from 1 species